rnacentral:rRNA from 1 species
CCUACGGGAGGCAGCAGUGGGGAAUAUUGCACAAUGGGGGAAACCCUGAUGCAGCGACGCCGCGUGAGUGAAGAAGUAUUUCGGUAUGUAAAGCUCUAUCUGCAGGGAAGAAAAUGACGGUACCUGACUAAGAAGCCACGGCUAACUACGUGCAAGCAGCCGCGGUAAUACGUAGGGGGCAAGCGUUAUCCGGAUUUACUGGGUGUAAAGGGAGCGUAGUGGGCGGAACAAGGCAGAAGUGAAAACUCGGGGCUCAACCCUGGGAGUGCUUUUGAAACUGUUUGGCUGGAGUGCAGGAGAGGUAAGCGGAAUUCCUGGUGUAGCGGUGAAAUGCGUAGAUAUUAGGAGGAACACCAGUGGCGAAGGCGGCUUACUGGACUGUAACUGACGUUGAGGCUCGAAAGCGUGGGGAGCAAACAGGAUUAGAUACCCCUGUAGUC